CCGUAGCGAACAGCUCAGUAACACGUGGCCAAGCUACCCUAUGGACGUGGACACCCUCGGGAAACUGAGGCUAAUCCGCGAUACGGCUCCCACGCUUGAAUGCGGGGAGCCGGAAACGCUCCGGCGCCAUAGGAUGCGGCUGCGGCCGAUUAGGUAGACGGUGGGGUAACGGCCCACCGUGCCGAUAAUCGGUACGGGAUGUGAGAGCAAAUAGCCCGGAGAUGGAAUCUGAGACAAGAUUCCAGGCCCUACGGGGCGCAGCAGGCGCGAAACCUUUACACUGCACGCCAGUGCGAUAAGGGGACCCCGAGUGCGAGGGCAUACAGUCCUCGCUUUUGUACACCGUAAGGAGGUGUACGAAUAAGGGCUGGGCAAGACCGGUGCCAGCCGCCGCGGUAAUACCGGCAGCCCGAGUGAUGGCCGCUGUUAUUGGGCCUAAAGCGUCCGUAGCCGGCCGAACAAGUCUGUCGGGAAAUCCGUCCGCCUAACGGAUGGGCGUCCGGCAGAAACUGUUCGGCUUGGGGCCGGAAGAUCCGAGGGGUACGUCCGGGGUAGGAGUGAAAUCCUGUAAUCCUGGACGGACCGCCGGUGGCGAAAGCGCCUCGGAAGGACGGACCCGACGGUGAGGGACGAAAGCUGGGGUCUCGAACCGGAUUAGAUACCCGGGUAGUCCCAGCCGUAA
rnacentral:rRNA from 1 species